AUAGUUAAAAUUGAUUUAUUAUUAAUAUCUUUAUGUAUUGAAUAGAUUAAUAUAAAUAAUUAAAUAAAUAUAAUUAUGAAAUUGACCUAAUAAAACUAGUAUGACUUUUUUAUGGUAGAUAAAAAUGGUACGAUAAUAAAUCUAAAACAUCUAACAUUUGAAAACAGAGACAUUAUAAUUUUGUAAAUGACUUUGAUUCGUUACUACAAAUGACUUCUUACAUUAUUAACGGAGACAUUAUAAUCUUGCAAAUGACUUUGAUUCGUUACUACAAAUGCCUUCUUACAUUUUUUUCCGCAAUGUUAUGAUUACCUAUAAGGAUGAAAUGUAAUAAUAUAUGAUUAAAUUUAAACAUACAAAAAUGAGAGGGAUAAAUGAUUGAUUUCUUCGGCUCACCAUUACGCAUUUAGUGAAGAGAGGCUGUCAUGCUGUAAAGCGUUGAAUAGAAACACAUUCAAUGGAACAAAUUGAUUCCGUAAAACAAAAUAUCACUGAUGAUAAAAAAGAAGCCGUUAAAAAAGGAGAUUAAGCAUCGAAACAACGCGAAGAAAGGCUCGAGAAAAUAUAGCCGUUGGAGACAGGAGCCAAAAGCAGUAAAAAGAAAAAGAAAAAAAAAUCGUUAUUCAAAAUAUGACCGUUGUGAUAUUAGUAUAUAUAUACUCGUCCCUUGUCCCUUAUUUUUAUUCAGAUUACAAAAUACAUUACCUCUGAAAAAAGGAACCAAGAAAGUUCCACUCUCACUCUCACUCUCACUCUCACUCUUUCAUAGCUAGCUCUUUGAUUCGAUCUGAUAAUAUAUCAUGGAAGGAACAACUGCGAUGGUUGACCAGACGUACAAGUUCUUGGCUACUGCGAUGGUUCGAUGGAAGACGUACAAGUGCUGCUCCGUUGAUCUCACAGCAGUUCCAAGGGACAAAACAAAACGCCUAAGCAGAUAGAAGAAAACAAGGAGAACAUUCCUCCUCCUAACCACCUCCUCAGCAAACUGCUAGAAAGAUAGCUGAGGAAUAGGCCGAAAGGAACUAAUCAGAUAAUUGUGAAAAGGGAAACGAGUCCCAAGAACAUACUUUGGCACUAGUCAUCAUUGUUUUUUUUUUAAUAGAUUCUAAUUCCAAAAGCAACAACUCUGCUCCACAAGGAGAACAUAAAGGUUUUAUGUCCGUGAGCAAGAGCACGCGAGACUUGUCACUGCCUCAUGCCAACACUUUUCUUCCACAGGUAAAACAAACUCUUGAUAGUUUCUCUGACUCUAUUCUCUCUUACUCUUCUUCGAUUUUAAAAUUACAUUGUUUCUUCAUCGAUUUCGUUCCAUUCAUAUGAUAGUCUAUCUACACAGCUAUUGAGCAAGAUGAAGAGACCAUUGAAAAAUCUUGAGGUUGCUCACUUGCUCAUCAGGUUCCACCUUCUAGCUUCUGAUGCGUGUUUGCUAAGGUCUUUUUAUAUAUAUAUAUUUUUUUUUUCAAAAUAUUUUCACUUGUUUUCUAAGUCUUUCUUUAUAUAUUAUUAUCUUACAAACUAUUUUCACUUUGAAAAAGGUACAGGUGAUAAAUUUUUAAUACAUUGAAAAGCAAACCAAACUUUUGUACCUUGUCUUUGGAAUUUUCUAUGGUUAUAAUUUAUAAAUAUGCUUUUUGGUAUUGUAAAUUUGUCACUUGCACUAACUUUCUCGUAUUUUAUUUUAAGCUUUUGGUAUUUGACGUAAAGUGUUGAUUUAAUUAAUUUUUUUAACAAUAUUUAGUUUUCAAAAGAAAGUUAAAUGUUCAAUUUUAAAAAUGUGAAAACAAACCGAACGUAACAUCCUGUCCUAUGGUCCUUUAGAGAUUGUAUAAGUUCAAUAAGUUUACACAUAUAAUAUAAGUUUAACAUUUAAUUUUUUACCUUUAAUUUUUGGAUUUAUAAAAAUUAUUUUCUGCAUUGCUUCUGAAAUAUUUCUAUUUCAGAAAAGAUAGUAAGUGUUAAAUUUUCAAAAAUUCUGAAAACAAAUCAAACUUAUUAUGUCUCUACUUUCUUUGUUGUUGUUUAUAUGUUUAAUACUACACGUAAUGUAAAUUUGACACUUAGCUUUUUAAUACAUUACUAGAUUUGAACUCACACAUAUGUGUGGAUAUACAUAUUUUUUAAAAUAAUAUUUAAAAUAUAAAAUAAGGUAUAAAGAUAUAUAUUUAAUAUCAAUUUUUUAUGUAUAUAAUUUUAUGAUAAUUUUAAAAAGAAUUGGGAUAUACUGUUUAAUUUCAAAAUUAGUUACUGAGUGAAACAUAUAUAAAGUCUGUCUAGGGAUAAACAAAAUAAUUGCAUAAUGGAAACAUAUUUGGCUUUUCUUAGGAAUGUUAUUGUUUAGAUGCAUAUAAUGUUUCUGUUAGAAAAUAUCAUAUAUACAUAAA